GAAAGCCCUGGGCUCAACCUAGGAACUGCAUCCAAAACUAACUCACUAGAGUACGAUAGAGGGAGGUAGAAUUCAUAGUGUAGCGGUGGAAUGCGUAGAUAUUAUGAAGAAUACCAGUGGCGAAGGCGGCCUCCUGGAUCUGUACUGACACUGAGGUGCGAAAGCGUGGGUAGCGAACAGGAUUAGAUACCCUGGUAGUCCACGCCGUAAACGAUGACAACUAGCUGUUAGGAGACUAUGUCUUUUAGUGGCGCAGCUAACGUUUUAAGUUGUCCGCCUGGGGAGUACGGCCGCAAGGCUAAAACUCAAAUGAAUUGACGGGGACCCGCACAAGCAGUGGAUCAUGUGGUUUAAUUCGAUGCAACGCGAAAAACCUUACCUACUCUUGACAUACUUGGAAGCUCUUGUAAUGAGAGUGUGCUUUUAAGAACCAAGAUACAGGUGCUGCAUGGCUGUCGUCAGCUCGUGUCGUGAGAUGUUCCGUUAAGUCGGAUAACGAGCGCAACCCUUACCCUUAUUUGCCAGCGAUUCGGUCGGGAACUAUAAGGGGACUGCCGGUGAUAAACCGGAGGAAGGUGAGGACGACGUCAAGUCAUCAUGGCCCUUACGAGUAGGGCUACACACGUGAUACAAUGGGAGAGACAGACGGACGCUAAGCCGCGAGGUGGUGCUAAUCCUAGAAACUCUCUCGUAGUCCGGAUUGGAGUCUGCAACUCGACUCCAUGAAGUUGGAAUUGCUAGUAAUCGCGGAUCAGCAUGCCGCGGUGAAUACGUUCUCGGGUCUUGUACACACCGCCCGUCACACCAUGGAAGUGGAUUGCACCAGAAGUAGAUAGUCUAACCUUAGGGAAGGCGUUUACCACGGUGUGCUUCAUGACUGGGGUGAAGUCGUAACAAG
rnacentral:rRNA from 1 species